rnacentral:rRNA from 1 species
UGGGGAUGACGUCAAAUCAUCAUGCCCCUUUAUGACCUGGGCUACACACGUGCUACAAUGGUUGGUACAACGAGUUGCGAGUCGGUGACGGCGAGCUAAUCUCUUAAAGCCAAUCUCAGUUCGGAUUGUAGGCUGCAACUCGCCUACAUGAAGUCGGAAUCGCUAGUAAUCGCGGAUCAGCACGCCGCGGUGAAUACGUUCCCGGGCCUU